ACACGUUUCGGGUUCGACUCUGGAAUCGCCCCGAACAGAAAGAUACUUUUGGAGGCCCAGAGGGGAGGAGCUGAUGCUUCCGUCCAGCCCGGGGAAGGAAAUCGAGGAAAACGCGGAGAACCUUGCUACCCGGGCUGUUGCCCACUCCCCUCCCCUUCUCCACAACAGUUACUCCUCCUUUCCUCCAGCAUUUGGUUUUACUCUCAGAGAGUAAGGGAGGAAAUCACCUACUUAGACGCAGUUCUCCCCUUUAACUGCACUAACGAUCUUAAGAUCACUAAAGCCGAAAGCACUGAACCCCGCAAACUGAACGGAUUUUAAUCAUCAAAGAAAAUGCAUAUGAAGAGAGAUUACUUACCAACAGGUCAAGAGGAAGUGGUUUUAUUAAAUCUUUAAAUGUUCACACAGGAAGCAUCUGGCACAUCAGUUCCACAGAAGAGUGCUUCAGUGUGCCUGGGUACCUACCACUCCAUCAGCUCUUCCUCAUCCUUUCUGAAGAGCUCUCGGAAGGCAGUUUCUUUUGUCAUCGUCCCUCUCAAAAUGUGACCCCAACAAUAAAUUCAAGGUUUCAUCCCAAAUAACACAGAGUAAAAAAAUGGUUAAUAGCUUUGUUCUAAUUACGGUAUUUCCUCAAGUAAAUCCUGUGGGCUCUUAUGGCAGCAGUAUUAC